UACAGGGGGGGGCAAGCGUUGUUCGGAAUUACUGGGCGUAAAGGGCUCGUAGGUGGCCGACUAAGUCAGACGUGAAAUCCCUCAGCUUAACUGGGGAACUGCGUCUGAUACUGGAUGGCUUGAGUUUGGGAGAGGGAUGCGGAAUUCCCAGUGUAGCGGUGAAAUGCGUAGAUAUUGGGAAGAACACCAGUGGCGAAGGCGAUCAUCUGGACCGCAACUGACGCUGAGACGCGAAAGCUAGGGGAGCGAACAGG
rnacentral:rRNA from 1 species